CCUACGGGGGGCAGCAGUGAGGAAUAUUGGUCAAUGGACGAGAGUCUGAACCAGCCAAGUAGCGUGAAGGAUGACUGCCCUAUGGGUUGUAAACUUCUUUUAUAUGGGAAUAAAAUGUUCCACGUGUGGGAUUUUGUAUGUACCAUAGGAAUAAGGAUCGGCUAACUCCGUGCCAGCAGCCGCGGUAAUACGGAGGAUCCGAGCGUUAUCCGGAUUUAUUGGGUUUAAAGGGAGCGUAGGUGGAUUGUUAAGUCAGUUGUGAAAGUUUGCGGCUCAACCGUAAAAUUGCAGUUGAAACUGGCAGUCUUGAGUACAGUAGAGGUGGGCGGAAUUCGUGGUGUAGCGGUGAAAUGCUUAGAUAUCACGAAGAACUCCGAUUGCGAAGGCAGUUCACUGGACUGCAACUGACACUGAGGCUCGAAAGUGUGGGUAUCAAACAGGAUUAGAUACCCGUGUAGUC
rnacentral:rRNA from 1 species